rnacentral:rRNA from 1 species
GAUGAACGCUGGCGGCGUGCCUAAUACAUGCAAGUCGAGCGAACAGACGAGGAGCUUGCUCCUCUGACGUUAGCGGCGGACGGGUGAGUAACACGUGGAUAACCUACCUAUAAGACUGGGAUAACUUCGGGAAACCGGAGCUAAUACCGGAUAAUAUAUUGAACCGCAUGGUUCAAUAGUUAAAGACGGUUUUGCUGUCUCUUAUAGAUGGAUCCGCGCCGCAUUAGCUAGUUGGUAAGGUAACGGCUUACCAAGUCAACGAUGCGUAGCCGACCUGAGAGGGUGAUCGGCAACACUGGAACGGAGACACGGUCCAGACUACUACGGGAGGAAGCAGUAGGGAAUCUUCCGCAAUGGGCGAAAGCUUGACGGAGCAACGCCGCGUGAGUGAUGAAGGUCUUCGGAUCGUAAAACUCUGUUAUUAGGGAAGAACAAAUGUGUAAGUAACUAUGCACGUCUUGACGGUACCUAAUCAGAAAGCCACGGCUAACUACGUG